rnacentral:pre_miRNA from 10 species
GCCAGGGGACCCCCUCAGGUGCCGUGCAGCAGCUGGUGUUGUGAAUCAGGCCGUCACCAGUCGGAGAACGGCUACUUCACAACACCAGGGUCGCACCGCACCACAGUUCGACCACCGGCCG